GCGUGUAGUGGGUGGAUCUGCAAUUGUAUUCCUGUUUCAAGCCCCGUUUUCUUGCAGCUCUUCGGCACUGCAAACCUAACCGCUAAUGGCGCUGUGGGUGGAGAAACGUUUGUUAGGCAACAACAGAAUUCUGCGAAACUUGGUUGGUUGGAGGAGCACACCAAAAAUAAAGUACCGGAGCCGGCACGGCUUCAAAAAAAUUAGGAUCAGUACCGCUAGUAGCGAACGCAUAAGAAGGGCUUCCUGUAUGCCUGCGUAUCUUGUUUAAGCCUAAAGAUAUGUACUCUCUUUAUCCUCUUUUUUUGAGACGAGGAAGUAGACCCAGCAUGCCCGAGAUCACACAUUUUACAAGGAAGAAGUAGGAUCCAGACCCAGGGAGUUUAACUUCAAAACUUGAACGUUUAACAAUCAGGUCUUGCUGCCCUACUCAUAAAGAGACCCAAAUAAAAACAACAUGACGCCAUUUUUUUCCAUGUGUUUAGACUGGCAAACUUGUGAAGUCGCUUAAUACCAAAUGUGUACCAAGAUGUAAGGAAAUGAUGUGAGAAUGUCAUUAGUAUAACCUUUUAGGAGGAGUAAUUUGACAAUAUGAGAGGCUUGAGCGGAUUGAUUCAGCAAUUUCACCACUAAGAAGGGGUGAAAGUCACAGGAGAGACUGGAAAGGGA
rnacentral:lncRNA from 10 species